rnacentral:misc_RNA from 1 species
GGAAGUAAAAGCCGUAACAAGGUUUCCGUAGGUGAACCUGCGGAAGGAUCAUUCAUAAUAAGUGUUUUAUGGCACUUUUUUAAAUCCAUAUCCACCUUGUGUGCAAUGUCAGGGUUGGUCUCUUUUGAUCAGCCCCAAACAUCAACUAUUAUCUCAACUCUUUGUCUGAAAAAUAUUAUGAAUAAAACAAUUCAAAAUACAACUUUCAACAACGGAUCUCUUGGCUCUC